rnacentral:rRNA from 1 species
AGCGAACGUUAGCGGCGCGCCUAACACAUGCAAGUCGCACGAGAAAGGGCUUCGGCCCCGGUAAAGUGGCGCACGGGUGAGUAACACGUGGGCAACCUGCCCAACCCUGGGGGAUAACCUGCCGAAAGGCGGGCUAAUACCGCGUACGAGGGCUCGACUUCGGUCGGGUUCUGAAAGCAGGCCUCUGUAUACAAGCUUGUGGGGUUGGAUGGGCCCGCGCUCCAUCAGCUAGUUGGUGAGGUAACGGCUCACCAAGGCUACGACGGAUAGCUGGUCUGAGCGGAUGAUCAGCCACACUGGAACUGAGACACGGUCCAGACUCCUACGGGAGGCAGCAGUGGGGAAUCUUGCGCAAUGGACGAAAGUCUGACGCAGCGACGCCGCGUGGGUGAUGAAGGCCUUCGGGUUGUAAAGCCCUGUGGGGUGAGACGAACAGCUGGGGUUCAAAUAGGGCCUUGGUCUGACGGUAUCACCUUAGCAAGCACCGGCUAACUCUGUGCCAGCAGCCGCAGUAACAC